UUUAUAGUUGAAGUAAAGUGAGGCAAAGAAGGAACAGAACAGGGAGCUUUUUACGCUGUGGGUUAGAAAGAAAGUUUUGAAGAAAAAACAACUCUUCUCACUGCCAAUCCAGAGUCGCCCUCGCUCAUGCUAGUUAGAACAAGGUCAGUCACAGAAACGGUAAGAAAACACUGUUGGCCAGACUGUCCUUUCUGCUGGAAUAGCCUCCACUGAAAACAGUACCGCUCCUACUUCUUGAAAAAAACCAAACCAACACAACCCAACACUUUAGAGUGCACUCAUUGAGAAGUUUGAUACAUUUUUCUGAAGAAAUAGAAGUGCUCAAAGCUCGCUGGCCAACAGCGCACUCCAGCCAGGAAUAACAGAAUAGGACUUUGGCUCUUUUCUUGUUGUUUUUUGGAAGCAGGGCCGUGAUUAAGAGCAAUGUCUGCAGGCAUUCAUAUUGUGCCACUUGAACUGGAAUUCUUGGAGCAGUGCAAGAUGAACUAAAGCAGAAGCAUUUGCCAAGAAUGUUUUCAUUAAUCAAGAA
rnacentral:ncRNA from 1 species